rnacentral:tRNA from 1 species
GAGGGACUAGUCCAACUAAGACAAUU